GAUGAACGCUGGCGGCGUGCCUAAUACAUGCAAGUCGAGCGAACAGAUGAGGAGCUUGCUCCUCUGACGUUAGCGGCGGACGGGUGAGUAACACGUGGAUAACCUACCUAUAAGACUGGGAUAACUUCGGGAAACCGGAGCUAAUACCGGAUAAUAUAUUGAACCGCAUGGUUCAAUAGUGAAAGACGGUUUUGCUGUCACUUAUAGAUGGAUCCGCGCCGCAUUAGCUAGUUGGUAAGGUAACGGCUUACCAAGGCAACGAUGCGUAGCCGACCUGAGAGGGUGAUCGGCCACACUGGAACUGAGACACGGUCCAGACUCCUACGGGAGGCAGCAGUAGGGAAUCAUCCGCAAUGGGCGAAAGCCUGACGGAGCAACGCCGCGUGAGUGAUGAAGGUCUUCGGAUCGUAAAACUCUGUUAUUAGGGAAGAACAAAUGUGUAAGUAACGAUGCACGUCUUGACGGUACCUAAUCAGAAAGCCACGGCUAACUACGU
rnacentral:rRNA from 1 species